AAAAUAAAUUUCCUUAAGCUUUCGCAACACAGCCAAAUCCUGAAUCCUGGUCACGGCACCAAUGUUACGCGGAUCUCUUGACGGUUUCCGACUUGUGAUCGUCUGACCCUACGUUUACUCGGUUAAUUACCAAUGCUCCACGCACAAAGGACCAGGCACUUCAAGCCAACUAUAUUUAUUAAUACAACUGGUUACAGUACAAUAUGACCCACUAUUGCAAUUAUCUCAAUACUAAGUCUAACAACUGGCCUCACAGUCUCCCGAGGCUAGUAACCAAUAAAAUACCAAACUUACUUCCCCUUUGAGUCUGCCGAAGCUCCGAUAAGUAUUCAAGCGCUGAGCGUCUGUGGGAUGUGAGGAGAGGUCCUACGAGGUUUCUCCAAUGGGGUGGCUUCUCUCUUUGUCCCCAGUCAGGUUAACAGGCAGGCGGAUCGUAGCGUUGACCAACAGACAGCCCCCCAGUGAAUCGGUGUUCUGCCCUUUUUAUCUACUAUUCACCCCGCUUUCCGGUCUCCCGUUGGACGGGUUAUUUCCUGGUCUGCCUCCAAUGCAAAGGCUUGGUUUAUUCCACCCUAUUCUAGUUGUUUCCUCGCCUAUGACCUCAUAGACGAGGGGCUCUGCCUGGGUAUGAUGAGUAAGCCUCAUCAGUCAUUCCCAUCUCUUUUCCUCUCCAACUUUUGUUCUACUGUCCGUGAGUCAUCGAUCAUCUGCCGAUUUCUGUUUAUUUGAUCUCUGACUCACCCCGUUACACAAGUUGUGUAUAAUACAAGAUAUAUUCCAAUUUUUUUACAAUGAGAUAUGAUAAGAAUUUAGUCUUCGCACGAUUUUCGAUAUUCUAUCUAGGAGCCAUUUUCGGUAGGUCGUCACCUCGCAGAGGCUGCAAUGUUUUUGAAAACCACAUGCUCGUGGCAGCUAAUGGCGAUGUGGAUUGCUUUUGGGCACCCCAAGCGUUCGAAGUCGAUACAAGGUAUAUCGAACCUCGCGCAGAGGUCUCUUUCGACAUGCCCUCCCUUGUAGAGAAUCGCGUCAUUGUUUUUCUUGACGAGCUGCAUUAAGUAAUUCAGCUCGUCU
rnacentral:lncRNA from 1 species